rnacentral:miRNA from 1 species
AAAAGUUGAUCGUGUUUAUGACGUCGAAUAUCGACGUCAUAAACACCAAAGUUGAUCGUGUUUAUGACGUCGAUAUUCGACGUCAUAAACACCAAAG